ensembl:lncRNA
UUCAAUGGUUUCAGAAGAAAUUCUUCCACUAAAGUGAUGCCUGAAGGUGUUGCUUCAGGUGAAGAUGAACAUGUCUUCAUAACGCCUUCCUUUCCUCUGACACCACAGACUCACUGUCUACAGACACAAUUUGCAUUGCCUGUUGAAAACCAAAGCAAUCUUUAUAACACGCCAUUUUGAGGGCAGCAUCACAGUUCUCUCUGAUCUCUCUCUCUCACUCACACACACACACACACCUAACUCCAUAAAAGAUAGCAUUCAUUGCCCCCACUCACUUUCGCAACACACACACACACACACAUACACACACACACACACACACACACACACACACACAGUCUCUCUCAAACACCAGCGGGCACAGGGCGGUUCACUCCCUCACUGCAGACAGACUGUGACGGCCGUGUGUGUGUGUGUGAAGCCAUAUGUGGCUGUGUAUGUCUCUGUACGUUUGUGUGUGUGUGUGUGUGUGCGCUGGCCUCGGGCUCAAACACGUCCUCAGAAAGGGUCUGUGAGCGAGGCUGCCCCGCAGGAAACCGUGACAUUACCUGAGGCGCCACUAGGCCCUCUUACACUUCACAAAGUGAAAAAUCACAUCAGAGGAUGUGAGCCGACACACACACACACACACACACACACAUUUAUAUUCACACCUAAAUGUCUCUAAACACACUAAAAACAACGUUUUAAAGAUUUUUGAGGUCGAAGACACUGAUGGAUGUGUUGAUUUGAUGAGCUUUUUUGCAGAUGAUGAUGUCACUUCCUGUGACAUCAUGCCACAGCUGACACAGCUGCUUGGUUUGGCAUGUAAUAAUUUUUAGAUUUUGCAUUUUCUGUUUUCUGGAUGCAAUUUGUCAUAUGUCCUGGUCUGUAAUAUGAUGGUUUUUUUUUUCUGUUUUCAGAUGCAGCAGCAGGAACUCGCCCAAAUGAGACAAAGGGACGCCAACCUGACGGCACUCGCCGCCAUCGGCCCUCGGAAGAAACGCAAAGUGGACUCACCAGGAGCUACAGCGACAGGCACUGAGAGCAAAAGUAAACCGCAGAGGGUUUUCCCCUGCUGUGUUCGUCCAGUUUCCCACAGCAGUGAACGGGACUGGACGUCUGUCCUCCGUGAGAGCGUUACAGUGUUGUUUCGAUGCAGAUCGCAGUGCCGCUCCACAUAUGGCUACCAGCUCUGCUCUGCAUUACGCAGGAUUACGCCGCGCACACUGGAGACAUGA